AGAGUUUGAUCAUGGCUCAGAUUGAACGCUGGCGGCAUGCCUUACACAUGCAAGUCGAACGGCAGCACGGGUGCUUGCACCUGGUGGCGAGUGGCGAACGGGUGAGUAAUACAUCGGAACAUGUCCUGUAGUGGGGGAUAGCCCGGCGAAAGCCGGAUUAAUACCGCAUACGAUCUACGGAUGAAAGCGGGGGACCUUCGGGCCUCGCGCUAUAGGGUUGGCCGAUGGCUGAUUAGCUAGUUGGUGGGGUAAAGGCCUACCAAGGCGACGAUCAGUAGCUGGUCUGAGAGGACGACCAGCCACACUGGGACUGAGACACGGCCCAGACUCCUACGGGAGGCAGCAGUGGGGAAUUUUGGACAAUGGGCGAAAGCCUGAUCCAGCAAUGCCGCGUGUGUGAAGAAGGCCUUCGGGUUGUAAAGCACUUUUGUCCGGAAAGAAAUCCUUGGCUCUAAUACAGUCGGGGGAUGACGGUACCGGAAGAAUAAGCACCGGCUAACUACGUGCCAGCAGCCGCGGUAAUACGUAGGGUGCGAGCGUUAAUCGGAAUUACUGGGCGUAAAGCGUGCGCAGGCGGUUUGCUAAGACCGAUGUGAAAUCCCCGGGCUCAACCUGGGAACUGCAUUGGUGACUGGCAGGCUAGAGUAUGGCAGAGGGGGGUAGAAUUCCACGUGUAGCAGUGAAAUGCGUAGAGAUGUGGAGGAAUACCGAUGGCGAAGGCAGCCCCCUGGGCCAAUACUGACGCUCAUGCACGAAAGCGUGGGGAGCAAACAGGAUUAGAUACCCUGGUAGUCCACGCCCUAAACGAUGUCAACUAGUUGUUGGGGAUUCAUUUCCUUAGUAACGUAGCUAACGCGUGAAGUUGACCGCCUGGGGAGUACGGUCGCAAGAUUAAAACUCAAAGGAAUUGACGGGGACCCGCACAAGCGGUGGAUGAUGUGGAUUAAUUCGAUGCAACGCGAAAAACCUUACCUACCCUUGACAUGGUCGGAAUCCCGCUGAGAGGUGGGAGUGCUCGAAAGAGAACCGGCGCACAGGUGCUGCAUGGCUGUCGUCAGCUCGUGUCGUGAGAUGUUGGGUUAAGUCCCGCAACGAGCGCAACCCUUGUCCUUAGUUGCUACGCAAGAGCACUCUAAGGAGACUGCCGGUGACAAACCGGAGGAAGGUGGGGAUGACGUCAAGUCCUCAUGGCCCUUAUGGAUAGGGCUUCACACGUCAUACAAUGGUCGGAACAGAGGGUUGCCAACCCGCGAGGGGGAGCUAAUCCCAGAAAACCGAUCGUAGUCCGGAUUGCACUCUGCAACUCGAGUGCAUGAAGCUGGAAUCGCUAGUAAUCGCGGAUCAGCAUGCCGCGGUGAAUACGUUCC
rnacentral:rRNA from 2 species